UAUAGGUUUGGUCCCAGCCUUCCUGUUAACUUUCAAUAGACUUACACAUGCAAGCAUCCACGCCCCGGUGAAUAACGCCCUCCGAAUCGAAAGGACUAAGAGGAGCAGGUAUCAAGCACACAUCUUGUAGCUCACAACACCUUGCUUAGCCACACCCCCACGGGAAACAGCAGUGACAARAAUUAAGCCAUAAACGAAAGUUUGACUAAGCCAUAUUGACUAGGGUUGGUAAAUCUCGUGCCAGCCACCGCGGUCAUACGAUUAACCCGAGCUAACAGGAACACGGCGUAAAACGUGUUAAAGCACUUCAUUGAAUAGARUUAAAUUUUAAUUAAGCUGUAAAAAGUCAUAAUUACAUCAAAAAUAAGUAACGAAGGUAACUCUACAGCAGCUGACACACUAUAGCUAAGACCCAAACURRGANNNNNNNNNNNNNNNNNNNNNGCCUUAAACACAAAUAAUUACAGAACAAAAUUAUUCGCCAGAGUACUACCGGCAACAGCCCGAAACUCAAAGGACUUGGCGGUGCUUUAUACCCUUCUAGAGGAGCCUGUUCUAUAAUCGAUAAACCCCGAUAAACCUCACCAAUCCUUGCUAAUUCAGUCUAUAUACCGCCAUCUUCAGCAAACCCUAAAAAGGAACAAGAGUAAGCUCAAUCACAUAACAUAAAGACGUUAGGUCAAGGUGUAACCUAUGGAAUGGGAAGAAAUGGGCUACAUUUUCUACUUCAAGAAAAUUCAACACGAAAACCAUUAUGAAACUAGUGGCUAAAGGAGGAUUUAGCAGUAAACUAAGAAUAGAGUGCUUAGUUGAAUUAGGCCAUGAAGCACGCACACACCGCCCGUCACCCUCCUCAAGUGAACACGACGCACUUAAACCUAUUUACACACACCAGUUACAUGAGAGGAGACAAGUCGUAACAAGGUAAGCAUACUGGAAAGUGUGCUUGGACAAAC
rnacentral:ncRNA from 1 species